AUGCCCGGGGCUACCAACAAGCGUGUUAACCAUGUCGAUAGUGAUGACACCGAUGAGAUACAAGCUAGCCUAGUCAUUGGGAAUAUAAAGCUUGGGGUUCCUUGUAUUUCCUCUACCCCAGAGAAGAAAAAGAAGUCAGAUUUUGUGCAAAGCGAGUUCAAGGGCCAGGUUGACCAUCAUACUUCUGAAAGUGAUUCCAUGACAUCUAUUACUGGUAGCACAUUAGCUAGGGAAAUUGAAGUCAUUGUGGACAAAGUUGUGGAAUGUGGGGCACCCAAAUGAAGCGAUGAGUACUACACGGCAACUAAAUUAUUUGGGAGAUCUAUACAUUGUUGCUUCUUUAAUAUCAUGAAGACAAGUGAGGGCAGACUUGAUUGGCUGAAGAGGCAUAGUGCGAACAGGAAAAUGUAG
rnacentral:rRNA from 1 species